rnacentral:piRNA from 1 species
AGCAAUGAUACAUAGCAUAUGCUGUAUGGGA